rnacentral:sRNA from 2 species
AUAGGGAAUAAUAUCAAUAGCCUAAGUCAUACGGGGAAACCAUAUUUUGGGGUGAAUCACUUUUAAGUGUAGGUUAUGCCUUUACCGAACCCGUCAGCUAACCUCGUAAUAAAAGGAGGAGUU